rnacentral:rRNA from 1 species
GGGCCCGCACAAGCGGUGGAGCAUGUGGUUUAAUUCGAUGCAACGCGAAAAACCUUACCUACUCUUGACAUCCAGCGAAACUUGGAGAGAUCCAGGUGUGCCUUAGGGAACGCUGAGACAGGUGCUGCAUGGCUGUCGUCAGCUCGUGUUGUGAAAUGUUGGGUUAAGUCCCGUAACGAGCGCAACCCUUGUCCUUAUUUGCCAGCACGUUAUGGUGGGAACUAUAAGGAGACUGCCGGUGACAAACCGGAGGAAGGUGGGGACGACGUCAAGUCAUCAUGGCCCUUACGAGUAGGGCUACACACGUGCUACAAUGGUAAGGACAAAGGGUCGCCAAGCGGUAACGUGGAGCUAAUCCCAUAAACCUUAUCGUAGUCCGGAUUGAAGUCUGCAACUCGACUUCAUGAAGUCGGAAUCGCUAGUAAUCG